rnacentral:rRNA from 1 species
UACGGGGGGGGCAAGCGUUGUUCGGAAUUACUGGGCGUAAAGGGUUCGUAGGUGGCCGGUUAAGUCAGACGUGAAAUCCCUCAGCUCAACUGGGGAACUGCGUCUGAGACUGAUCGGCUCGAGUGCAGGAGAGGAACGCGGAAUUCCAGGUGUAGCGGUGAAAUGCGUAGAUAUCUGGAGGAACACCGGUGGCGAAGGCGGCGUUCUGGACUGCAACUGACACUGAUGAACGAAAGCCAGGGGAGCAAACGGG